rnacentral:rRNA from 1 species
ACCUACGGGGCGCAGCAGUGAGGAAUAUUGGUCAAUGGGCGAGAGCCUGAACCAGCCAAGUCGCGUGAAGGAUGACGGCCCUACGGGUUGUAAACUUCUUUUGUCAGGGAGCAAUUGAGUCCACGUGUGGGCUUAGCGAGAGUACCUGAAGAAAAAGCAUCGGCUAACUCCGUGCCAGCAGCCGCGGUAAUACGGAGGAUGCGAGCGUUAUCCGGAUUUACUGGGUGUAAAGGGCGUGUAGGCGGGCCUGUAAGUCAGAAGUGAAAUCUGGGGGCUUAACCCCCAAACUGCUUUUGAAACUGCGG